AACUAGCUCAGGCCAGCAGGAUACCGAGCUUGGAAGAGGCGAGCAAUGGCGUCUCAUCUUUUCAGAUAGGUUGCCCAUUUCAUGAUUUGAGAUGCCCUGGUGUUUCCAGAGACAAUUUGCCCUUCUAUGUAAGAGUAAAUGAUUUUUCUAGCAAACUUCCAGCGAGAAAAGUAACCAUCACUGUGAGCACAGACUGUUUAAAACAGAAACUCUGGGUGAUAUAACUCUCAUCAAAAGACGUGUCGGAGCUACACUGCACCAUUGCCUCCUAGGAACAAGCUGUGAAGUAUGGACGGUAUACUUCUGAGUCUUCAGCCAGGGCUCUUUACACCUUAACUUGUUUCCGCUGUGCAGAAGCUUGUCUGUUUCAUAAGAUCCAUUUGAUUAUGUGCUUUUGACAAUCCCAAAGACACAGAGUAUAAGAAGACAAGGGGCAGGCUAUGAGUGCUCACAAAAGGGGGCCUGUCAUGACUACCCUCCAAAAGACCCAACAAGCUGCUGAAAGAGUCAGCAACCCAACCAAUG
rnacentral:sRNA from 1 species